rnacentral:rRNA from 1 species
GAUGAACGCUGGCUGCGUUCCUAAUACAUGCAAGUCGAGCGAACGGACGAGAAGCUUGCUUCUCUGAUGUUAGCGGCUGACGGGGUAGUAACACGUGGAUAACCUACCUAUAAGACUGGGAUAACUUCGGGAAACCGGUGCUAAUACCGGAUAAUAUUUUGAACCGCAUGGUUCAAAAGUGAAAGACGGUCUUGCUGUCACUUAUAGAUGGGUCCGCGCUGCAUUAGCUAGUUGGUAAGGUAACGGCUUACCAAGGCAACGAUGCAUAGCCGACCUGAGAGGGUGAUCGGCCACACUGGAACUGAGACACGGUCCAGACUCCUACGGGAGGCAGCAGUAGGGAAUCUUCCGCAAUGGGCGAAAGCCUGACGGAGCAACGCCGCGUGAGUGAUGAAGGUCUUCGGAUCGUAAAACUCUGUUAUUAGGGAAGAACAUAUGUGUAAGUAACUGUGCACAUCUUGACGGUACCUAAUCAGAGAGCCACGGCUAACUACGUG